rfam:TPA: Bos taurus chromosome 4, whole genome shotgun sequence.
GCAUUAGUGGUUCAGUGGUAGAAUUCUUGCCUCCCAUGCAGGAGACCCAGUUUCGAUUCCCAGUCAAUGCA